rnacentral:rRNA from 1 species
CUAAGCAUCAGGUAACAUCAAAUCGUACCCCAAACCGACACAGGUGGUCAGGUAGAGAAUACCAAGGCGCUUGAGAGAACUCGGGUGAAGGAACUAGGCAAAAUGGUGCCGUAACUUCGGGAGAAGGCACGCUGACACGUAGGUGAAGUGAUUUACUCAUGGAGCUGAAGUCAGUCGAAGAUACCAGCUGGCUGCAACUGUUUAUUAAAAACACAGCACUGUGCAAACACGAAAGUGGACGUAUACGGUGUGACGCCUGCCCGGUGCCGGAAGGUUAAUUGAUGGGGUCAGCGCAAGCGAAGCUCCUGAUCGAAGCCCCGGUAAACGGCGGCCGUAACUAUAACGGUCCUAAGGUAGCGAAAUUCCUUGUCGGGUAAGUUCCGACCUGCACGAAUGGCGUAAUGAUGGCCAGGCUGUCUCCACCCGAGACUCAGUGAAAUUGAACUCGCUGUGAAGAUGCAGUGUACCCGCGGCAAGACGGAAAGACCCCGUGAACCUUUACUAUAGCUUGACACUGAACAUUGAGCCUUGAUGUGUAGGAUAGGUGGGAGGCUUUGAAGUGUGGACGCCAGUCUGCAUGGAGCCGACCUUGAAAUACCACCCUUUAAUGUUUGAUGUUCUAACGUGGACCCGUGAUCCGGGUUGCGGACAGUGUCUGGUGGGUAGUUUGACUGGGGCGGUCUCCUCCUAAAGAGUAACGGAGGAGCACGAAGGUUGGCUAAUCCUGGUCGGACAUCAGGAGGUUAGUGCAAUGGCAUAAGCCAGCUUGACUGCGAGCGUGACGGCGCGAGCAGGUGCGAAAGCAGGUCAUAGUGAUCCGGUGGUUCUGAAUGGAAGGGCCAUCGCUCAACGGAUAAAAGGUACUCCGGGGAUAACAGGCUGAUACCGCCCAAGAGUUCAUAUCGACGGCGGUGUUUGGCACCUCGAUGUCGGCUCAUCACAUCCUGGGGCUGAAGUAGGUCCCAAGGGUAUGGCUGUUCGCCAUUUAAAGUGGUACGCGAGCUGGGUUUAGAACGUCGUGAGACAGUUCGGUCCCUAUCUGCCGUGGGCGCUGGAGAACUGAGGGGGGCUGCUCCUAGUACGAGAGGACCGGAGUGGACGCAUCACUGGUGUUCGGGUUGUCAUGCCAAUGGCACUGCCCGGUAGCUAAAUGCGGAAGAGAUAAGUGCUGAAAGCAUCUAAGCACGAAACUUGCCCCGAGAUGAGUUCUCCCUGAGACUUUAGGUCUCCUGAAGGAACGUUGAAGACGACGACGUUGAUAGGCCGGGUGUGUAAGCGCAGCGAUGCGUUGAGCUAACCGGUACUAAUGAACCGUGAGGCUUAACCUU